rnacentral:rRNA from 1 species
GAUGAACGCUGGCGGCGUGCCUAAUACAUGCAAGUCGAACGGUGAAAGCGGAGCUUGCUCCGCUGGAUCAGUGGCGAACGGGUGAGUAACACGUGGGCAACCUGCCCCUGACUUCGGGAUAACUCCUCGAACGAGGUGCUAAUACCGGAUACGAAUCCUGCAGGCAUCUGCGGGAUUGGAAAGUUUUUCGGUCAGGGAUGGUCCCGCGGCCUAUCAGCUUGUUGGUGAGGUAGUGGCUCACCACGGCGACGACGGGUAGCCGGCCUGAGAGGGGGACCGGCCACACUGGGACUGGGACACGGCCCAGACUCCUACGGGAGGCAGCAGUGGGGAAUAUUGCGCCAUGGGCGAAAGCCGGACGCAGCAACGCCGCGGGAGGGAUGACGGCCUUCGGGUUGUAAACCUCUUUCAGCAGGGAAGAAGCGAAAGUGACGGUACCUGCAGAAGAAGCACCGGCUAACUACGUGCCAGCAGCCGCAGUAA